UACGUAGGGGCUAGCGUUAUCCGGAAUUACUGGGCGUAAAGGGUGCGUAGGCGGUCUUUCAAGCCAGAAGUGAAAGGCUACGGCUCAACCGUAGUAAGCUUUUGGAACUGCAAGACUUGAGUGCAGGAGAGGAGAGUGGAAUUCCUAGUGUAGCGGUGAAAUGCGUAGAUAUUAGGAGGAACACCAGUAGCGAAGGCGGCUCUCUGGACUGUAACUGACGCUGAGGCACGAAAGCGUGGGGAGCAAACAGGAUUAGAUACCCCUGUAGU
rnacentral:rRNA from 1 species